ensembl:lncRNA
AUAUUUUCCUUAAAAUGUUCUUCCUAACUUCAGGCCUUAUUCUCAUGUCAGAUAUAACUGUGAUGUUCUGCAAAACAACAAACAUUUAAACACUUUUUUCUUACGGGUGUCAGUAAUCAGAUGGUCAAAUCUGUUUUCUCUCAGUGUAUUACAUCACUCUCGUCAAAGUAGUCCAUAUCAAAAACAAAAAUAUAUCUUGACUCCAUAUAGUGGUUAUUGUGGGAGAAUCCCAGGUAUUUUGAGUAGUAGAAUUAUAAAAAUAUGUGCUAAUAUAAAAUUAAAUAAAAUUGCAAAAUAAAUCUAUCUAUCAAUACUUCAUUACAUAAAGGGAUACCCCAAAAUGAAAAUUUUGUCAUUAAUCACUUACUCACUCACUCACUUCCAAACCCAUAAAAGCUUUGUUCAAUUAUCGCUUCAUAACAUUACAGUUGAAUCACUGAUGGCAGAUGGACUAUUCUGAUGAUGCUUUUCAUACUUUUCUAGACCUUGACAGUGUAACUUACUUGGCAGUCUAUGGGACAGUCACAAGCCUCCCGGUUUUCUUCCAAAAUAUCUUAAAUUGUGUUCCGAAGACGAACGGAGCAACAUGGGGCCUGAUGGAUUGAGAGAGAGAGAGCGAGCGAGCACUGCCUGUUUUCGUUAUCAUUCAUGAAACACCAACACACAAAGGCUUUCAUCAUCUCUCCGGCUGCCAGUGGAGGUGGAGUACUACAGCAAGAAGAAACAGGCUUCCCACAGGUCAUCGGCGUGAGUCAGCAGAGCUGUGAACGAGCGACCUGUUAGAAGAGGCGGAAACAACGCAGCACAAUCACACUAAAAGCAAAGAAGAAAAGAGCUUGAAAUAACAGCCUAGACUGUAAUCUUUCAUUAAGCACUACACCACUCGAACACAAAGAAAAAAUAUAUAUAUAAUCUCUAACAGAAUGGUCCGUGGUACUUCAUAGUUUGUUGUUUUUUUUAAGCUGGGAAACUCACCUCUCCACUCACUUCCUGUAGGGUCAGAAGUGCAGGAUGACGUAACUGACAACAUUCCUACAUAACCUGCUCACAAAUUUGUUUAUGAGAUACACGUUUUCAAAAUACAAAAGCAAUUCGUUUUUUAGCAUCUUUAUGAUCUUACAAUCUGCAUUUGAUGCAGUGUUCACUGGUUAUAACCAAUAAAACGAAUCAAAUCACACCUUUACA